AUUGAACGCUGGCGGCAGGCUUAACACAUGCAAGUCGAGCGAGCGGCGGACGGGUGAGUAAUGUCUGGGACACUGCCUGAUGGAGGGGGAUAACUACUGGAAACGGUAGCUAAUACCGCAUACCAUCAGAUGUGCCCAGAUGGGAUUAGCUAGUAGGUGGGGUAAUGGCUCACCUAGGCGAGGGUCCCUAGCUGGUCGGAGAGGAUGGCCGGCGACACUGGAACUGAGACACGGUCCAGAGCCCUACGGGAGGCAGCAGUGGGGAAUAUUGCACAAUGGGCGCAAGCCGGAUGCAGCCAUGCCGGGUGUGGGAAGAAGGCCUUAGGGUUGUAAAGCACUUUCAGCGAGGAGGCGUUACUCGCAGAAGAAGCACCGGCUAACUCCGUGCCAGCAGCCGCGGUAAUAC
rnacentral:rRNA from 1 species